AUUGAACGCUGGCGGCAUGCUUUACACAUGCAAGUCGAACGGUAACAGGCCGCAAGGUGCUGACGAGUGGCGAACGGGUGAGUAAUGCAUCGGAACGUGCCCAGUCGUGGGGGAUAACGCAGCGAAAGUUGCGCUAAUACCGCAUACGAUCUAUGGAUGAAAGCGGGGGACCGUAAGGCCUCGCGCGAUUGGCGCGGCCGAUGUCAGAUUAGGUAGUUGGUGGGGUAAAGGCUCACCAAGCCGACGAUCUGUAGCUGGUCUGAGAGGACGACCAGCCACACUGGGACUGAGACACGGCCCAGACUCCUACGGGAGGCGGCAGUGGGGAAUUUUGGACAAUGGGCGCAAGCCUGAUCCAGCAAUGCCGCGUGCAGGAAGAAGGCCUUCGGGUUGUAAACUGCUUUUGUACGGAACGAAACGGUCCUGGUUAAUACCCGGGGCUAAUGACGGUACCGUAAGAAUAAGCACCGGCUAACUACGUGCCAGCAGCCGCCGUAACAC
rnacentral:rRNA from 1 species